AAUGUUUGACGCCAUUGACUUUUUAUUACAUGUUUGACCGUUCGUCUUAUUCAAAAAAUUUAAGUAAUUAUUAAUUUUUUUCCUAUCAUUUGAUUUAUUGUUAAAUAUAUUUUUAUGUAGGCAUAUAAUUUUACAUAUCUCACAAAAGUUUUUGAAUAAGACGAACGGUCAAACAUGUGCUAAAAAGUCAACGGUGUCAAACAUU
rnacentral:pre_miRNA from 1 species